rnacentral:rRNA from 1 species
UGGGGAAUAUUGCACAAUGGGCGCAAGCCUGAUGCAGCAACGCCGCGUGAACGAUGAAGGUCUUCGGAUCGUAAAGUUCUGUUGCAGGGGAAGAUAAUGACGGUACCCUGUGAGGAAGCCCCGGCUAACUACGUGCCAGCAGCCGCGGUAAUACGUAGGGGGCUAGCGUUAUCCGGAUUUACUGGGCGUAAAGGGUGCGUAGGUGGUCUUUCAAGUCGGUGGUUAAAGGCUACGGCUCAACCGUAGUUAGCCUCCGAAACUGGAAGACUUGAGUGCAGGAGAGGAAUGUGACAUUCCCAGUUUAGCGGUGAAAUGCGUCGAUCUUGGGAGGAACACCAGUAGCGAAGGCGGCUUUCUGGACUGAAACUGACACUGAGGCACGAACGCGUGGGUAGCUAACUGG